rnacentral:rRNA from 1 species
CCCUUCGAUGUUCUGGGCUGCACGCGCGCUACACUGAUAAAGUCAACGAGUUUACAACCUUUUCUGAAAGGAAUGGGUAAUCUUUUGAAACUUUAUCGUGAUGGGGAUAGAAGAUUGCAAUUAUUUUUCUUGAACGAGGAAUGCCUAGUAAUAGUGGUUCAUCAGACCGCUGUGAUUACGUCCCUGCCCUUUGUACACACCGCCCGUCGCACCUACCGAUUGAAUGGUCCGGUGAAGCCUCGGGAUUGUGGUUAGUUUCCUUCAUUGGAAGUUAGCCGCGAGAACUUGUCUAAACCUUAUCAUUUAGAGGGAGGUGAAGUCGUAACA